CCUUGUUAUGGUUGCUCUUAACUGUUCAGCUCUCCUCCCAGAGGGCUUUGUUUUGCUUAUUCUUCUCAUUUUUUGUGAUCAAUCCUGUCUAUGAAAGGAUUUUUUUACAGUCAUUAUUUCCUUUUGGUUCUUAAGGCUUUCACUGGACUGAGGAGAAGAGUGAAGCGAAAGGAGUUCUGAAUCCCAGAAUGGAAGCUGCAAAUUUUUCAAGCCUCCCUACUCCAUCCCAAAGGCUAGCUCAGAUAAGGCGGAGGAAAAAGAAGACGCGAGAUGACAUGUUCUCGGAUAUAAUGGAAGUAACCCGCAAGGAAAGAGCUCAUCUGAAUGAGUGGAAGGAGGUGGUAUCAAAUUACAGGAAAGAUGCCAGUGAAUGUGAGGACAGGAGGGACACCCGAGAUGAGAGGUGGUGGCAGAAAGAUCAGCA